rnacentral:rRNA from 1 species
CAAUAGCGUAUACUAAUGUUGUUGCAGUUAAAAAGCUCGUAGUUGAACUUCUGGUAGGAGUGUCCCGGCCUUUUUGUUUUUACAAAUUGUAUGCUGUGUGACAUCUCUGGCCAUCCUUCUUCUUUGUUUAAAGAAGAUCUUUCACUGUAAAAAAAUUAGGGUGUUCAAAGCAAAAGUUUCUUUGGAAUAUAUUAGUAUGGGAUGAUAAGAUAGGCUCUAGAUGCUAUUUUGUUGGUUUGCACAUUUAGAGAAUGAUUAACAGGGACAGUUGGGGGUAUUCGUAUUUACAUGUCAGAGGUGAAAUUCUUGGAUUUUGGAAAGACGAACUACUGCGAAAGCAUUUACCAAGGAUGUUCUCAUUAA